rnacentral:rRNA from 1 species
UCCGUAGGCGGUUUUUUAAGUCAGAGGUGAAAUCCUGCAGCUCAACUGUAGAAUUGCCUUUGAUACUGAAAGACUUGAGUUAUUGUGAAGUGGUUAGAAUGUGUGGUGUAGCGGUGAAAUGCAUAGAUAUCACACAGAAUACCAAUUGCGAAGGCAGAUCACUAACAAUAUACUGACGCUCAGGGACGAAAGCGUGGGUAGCGAACAGGAUUAGAUACCCUGGUAGUCCACGCCGUAAACUAUGAUCACUAGAUGUUGGCGAUAUAAUGUCAGCGUUCAAGAGAAAUCGUUAAGUGAUCCACCUGGGGAGUACGUUCGCAAGAAUGAAACUCAAAGGAAUUGACGGGGGCCCGCACAAGCGGUGGAGCAUGUGGUUUAAUUCGAUGA